CCGGAGGCUGCCCACACCACCGCCGGCCGAUGGGCGUCUUACCAGACAUGGUUAGACCUGGCUCUCUGUCUAAUACUGUCUGGUAAAACCGUCCAUCAGCGGCCUGAUCGC
ensembl:miRNA